rnacentral:lncRNA from 1 species
GCAGGCAGUGUUUCCCUGUGGUGGCUGCUGGUGUGUACAGGCAAGAGCGAUCAUCAGUCACGUUUUCCUGCCGUCCUCCUCUCUCCAGGCUUUUGGAAGCCGGGAUCUACAGGCACACGUUAACGUGGCUUGUUCUGGAGCGUGGACAGGUUGAUGUUCAAUUUAUCACUGGUUCCAGUCUCGUUUGAUUGAGCUCAAAGGUACAAAUAGGAAGUUGAGCCGUUGGUCUGCUCAAUGGCAGCAGUAGUCACCCCUUUCCCAUCGCUGCAGACUGGCAGCUCUGUGCACAGAAGGGACGGCGUUCCCGAGCUGCCAUAGGGGUUCCUCCUCCUCAGUAAGUUGUGUUUUAAUAUCAAUGACAGCUUUUGGGUUAGUCUAGACCUGAGCUUGAGCUUUGCUUUACCUGCAGCAGAAACCCUGAGCUACCAUUGGAGGCAGAAACCUCCCAGGAGGAGCUUCAUCGAGGUUAACAACAGGGCACGUUGGCAUGUCCAUGUUCACGCGGCUUCUGUCGGUCUUAAAACUGUUGGGUUUUAAUGUGUGUUGGAUCAAGUCUUUGUUUCAUAGUGUUUGAAUUCGUUGUGUGUGGUGGAUGGGUCAGAUGAAGCUGACACCGGCGGGUGUUGAACCUGCUGGUGCGUGACAGUUACUGUCUCACAGUGUUAGAUUCUUCUUCUGCUUGAUGUUUUCUGAACCCCGAGAGCUUGGGGGGGCUCUGAUCUCACCCUCAUCUCGCCUCCCGCUUUCCUUAGGCUUUAGGGAAUCCUUCAAUAAAUACAUUGGGAUAAACAGAACUGAGGAUGCAGCAGCCGCCCUCAGCCCUCCCUGCUCUUGUCUUGGAAUUCACCUUCCUCCAGUGCAAGCUGGAUUUGAGCCUCGUAUGAACACUUAACACAGAGAGGAGGUGGCGCUCAGCUCCCGUGUGUCUCAGGAUGAGACAAAGCUGCAAUAGUUGGUGCUUGUGUUGGAGAAGUCUUGGGAGCCAGAGGCCGUGAAGGCUCCCACAGCACUUGUCCUGAAUGGAGCCCGUUGGGAUCCCGCUUUUCCCAUUGUGGAGCACUGAACCCUGCCGGGCUGUCCCAGAGCGGAGCCACUCGCUGCCUGGGGGGCCUCGGAGCUGGGGGGAUCAGUCCAAGACCUGUGUGGGUUCAUCCACCCGUCAGCUCUUCCCUUCCAUGUGCAACAGGAGCUUUUCCCUCUCAAUACGCUUAAAUUGGUGUGACUGAGGAACGGUGAAGGGGAGCGUUGGGUGAGGUUUGUGCUUGUGAGGGCUGGAUGAACUCCGUGUGUGCAGGGCAGGGCUUGGACACGGUGAUGGUCGGAGCUGGAUCCCUUUAAGAGCGAACUCCAAAGGGGUGUCCGGGGAGGCAGCUCCAGGCUGUGGCCCUCCCGUGUCUCUGCUCCGGGGUGUUCGUACCGCUCCGAGGGGUUGGUCAGUCCAACUGUUUCCUACCGUGGUUUAGAAGAGAAGGGAUGAAAGGUCUCUGUUUGUACAUCUCCUCUAAGGCUGUGUUUCUGCAAUAGGAGUAGUGGCGCUGUCUGUAUUCCCUUCUGGAAUUUUACAGGCUUAAACUUGCAGCAACUGAGUUGAAUUCCGUUGUACAAAGGGCGAUCUUUUUAACGCGACACAAUCUGUCUGCUCUUUGUUGGGAAGAGUGAGCAGUGCGCAAGUGGCCUCACUCGUGAGCAGUGGCACAAGCCCCCAUUUGACAGGGAAGGAUUAAGCUUGGCUCAGUUUGGGAUUUGUGAGACAUUAAAUGUAGGGAAGACACACGGGUGAAGCUUCUGGCCUCGCAGAGUAGACGAAUAUAAAAGUUAGGUGAUGAUAUUUAUGGGGUGAAACAUCACGGGGGCACCGGGCUUGCUUAAACCAGCCAUCCUUUCCUCACUGCAUCCCGAACAUUCCUGAAUAUUCCUGGCAUGAGCAUCGUCACAGUUGGAAGAGAACUGAGUGAAUAAAGAUAGCGACCGGUGUUGGGUCAGCACCAUCCAGCGCAGUGAUGCCAACAGGGUGUUUCAGUCAGCUCUUACCUGAGAGAGGAGACCUUGAGGUUUUAUUCUGGGGAGGGAUUAGACCUUCCAGAUGCUCCUGACCGUGCCGGAGCCCCGUCUGUGGAAGGAUUCCCUGGAGCAGUGGGAGUUAAACGUGUCCGUGCUCACAGAGGGCGAGUUUGAUGUUACUCAAGCCCCACAGAGCUGCUCUGGCAGCUCCUCUCACAGACCGGCAGCUAAACCCAACCUUGUGCAGUUCAUGGGGCUUGGCAGAACCGGUUCAUGCUUUUGUCUUUGUAUCUUUGCAUUAUUUGUAAAUGAAAUGUAAUAAAAGUUCAACUGGU